rnacentral:rRNA from 1 species
GAUGAACGCUAGCGGGAGGCUUAACACAUGCAAGUCGAGGGGCAGCACGAGGUAGCAAUACUUUGGUGGCGACCGGCGCACGGGUGAGUAACGCGUAUGCAACCUACCCUGUACAGGGGGAUAACCCGGAGAAAUUCGGACUAAUACCCCAUAAAGAUAUUUAGAGGCAUCUUUGAAUAUUUAAAGUUCCGGCGGUACGGGAUGGGCAUGCGUAACAUUAGCUAGUUGGUAAGGUAACGGCUUACCAAGGCAACGAUGUUUAGGGGUCCUGAGAGGGUGAUCCCCCACACUGGUACUGAGACACGGACCAGACUCCUACGGGAGGCAGCAGUGAGGAAUAUUGGUCAAUGGGCGCAAGCCUGAACCAGCCAUCCCGCGUGAAGGAAGAAUGCGCUAUGCGUUGUAAACUUCUUUUCCAGGGGAAUAAAAUUUUGUACGUGUACGGAAUUGAAGGUACCCUGGGAAUAAGCAUCGGCUAACUCCGUGCCAGCCGCCGCGGUAAGAC